rnacentral:rRNA from 1 species
CAAUAGCGUAUAUUAAAGUUGUUGCGGUUAAAAAGCUCGUAGUUGGAUUUCUGCCGAGGACGACCGGUCCGCCCUCUGGGUGUGUAUCUGGUUUGGCCUGGGCAUCUUCUUGGAGAACGUAGCUGCACUUGACUGUGUGGUGCGGUGUCCAGGACUUUUACUUUGAGGAAAUUAGAGUGUUUCAAGCAGGCACACGCCUUGAAUACAUUAGCAUGGAAUAAUAAGAUAGGACUGCGGUCUAUUUUGUUGGUUACAGGCCGAAGUAAUGAUUAAUAGGGAUAGUUGGGGGUAUUCAUAUUUGGCAGUCAGAGGUGAAAUUCUUAGAUUUGCUGAAGAUGAACAACUGCGAAAGCAUUUACCAAGGAUGUUUUCAUUAA